GUGAAGUAGAAAAUGACUUUUCAUGUAAUCACAAUAAACACCGAGCGAGGCAGAGAUGAAGGGCACAUGAGGUUAAGUUUCCAGACUCCAGAAAGUCCUAGAAAUGUGUUCCAUUCAUAUUAAUUCUUGAUCAUCAUGUGAAAGAGUGUGAGAGUGAGAGAGAGCACACCACUUUGUUCAUUAUUAUUAGCACCAUAUACAUAUAUAUAUAUAUAUUUAUAUUUAUAUAGUCAGUCAGUCUUUGAAAUUGAGAUAUCAGAUUUUGCAUGCAGGCGUGCUACGCGUGACAAGUCCUUCAUGCUUUUGUUUGCCUACAAAUGGUGCUCCGUUUGGACCGCUACCACCCAAUUUGCUCAUAAUGCUUCAACCCCAC
rnacentral:lncRNA from 1 species